rnacentral:rRNA from 1 species
CUUUGAUCAAAGAUUUAUCGACAUGGGAGCGGCCUAUUUCCUAUCAGCUUGUUGGUGAGGUAACGGCUCACCAAGGCUACGACGGGUAGCGGGACUGAGAGGUUGGCCCGCCACAUCGGGACUGAGACACUGCCCGGACCUCCUCGGAGGGCUGCAGUAACGAGUAUUGGGCAAUGGGCGAAAGCCUGACCCAGCAAUGCCGCGUGUAGGAUGAAGCCCCUCGGGGUGUAAACUAUUGUCAGGGAUUAGAAAGCUACGGUUGAUCAAUCCCAAAGGAAGUCACGGCUAACUUCGUGCCAGCAGCCGCGGUAAUACGAAGGUGGCAAGCGUUAUUCGAAAUCACUGGGCUUAAAGGGCGCGUAGGCGGACAUACAAGUGUCUUGUGAAAUCCCCCGGCUUAACCGGGGAAUUGCUCGGCAAACUGUAUGUCUUGAGUCAAGUAGGGGUGUGUGGAACUCUUGGUGGAGCGGUGGAAUGCGUAGAUAUCAAGAGGAACGCCGAAGGUGAAGACAGCACACUAGGCUUGUACUGACGCUGAGGCACGAAAGCGUGGGGAGCAAACAGGAUUAGAUACCCUGGUAGUCCACGCCGUAAACGAUGUCUACUAGGUUGCGGGGGUUCUGACACCGUCGCAGUCGAAGCAAAAGUGUUAAGUAGACCGCCUGGGGAGUACGAUCGCAAGGCUAAAACUCAAAGGAAUUGACGGGGGCUCACACAAGCGGUGGAGCAUGUGGAUUAAUUCGAAUCAACGCGCAGAACCUUACCUGGGUUUGACAUGUUUGGAUGCCUAUCUGGAAACAGAGUCGGUUGCCCUUCGGGGUGAAACUUACACAGGUGCUGCAUGGCUGUCGUCAGCUCGUGUCGUGAGAUUCGGGUUAAGUCCUUUAACGAGCGAAACCCUUACCGUUAGUUGCCAGCGCGUCAUGGCGGGGACUCUAGCGGGACUGCCGGUGUUAAACCGGAGGAAGGCGGGGAUGACGUCAAGUCCUCAUGGCCUUUAUGCCCAGGGCUUCACACGUGCUACAAUGGUGACUACAAAGCGACGCGAUACCGCGAGGUGGAGCAAAUCGCAAAAAAGUCGCCCCAGUUCAGAUUGCAGGCUGGCAACUCGCCUGCAUGAAGUUGGAAUCGCUAGUAAUCGCAUAUCAGCGAUGAUGCGGUGAAUGUGUUCCUGAGCCUUGUACACACCGCCCGUCAAGUGAUGGGAGUUGGGAGUACCCGAAGUCGGAUUGCUAACUUUUUAAGAAGCGUCUGCCGACGGUAAGCUCGAUGACUGGCACUAAGUCGUAACAAGGUA